rnacentral:misc_RNA from 1 species
UUUGGCUCGCUGAAGGUAUUGGAUAAUUUUUUGGCAGAAGGCGGUAACUGGGAGUGCAACGUUCGCAGUUCGAUAGAUCAAGUUCAUUUAUUGGCUUUGCCAAAUACUUGUCUUUGCUAGAAAAUACAGACAUCCUGUGACCUACAAUAUCUUUGCUUCCAAAUGCAGCAUUCUUUUCAAGUCUAUCUCUUUCUCGACUUUCACGA